GGGCUUGUGGCUCAACGGUAGAGCAUCUGACUCCAGAUCAGACGGUUGUCCGUUCGAAUCGGGCCAAGCUCA
rfam:Perkinsus marinus ATCC 50983 gcontig_1104296159414, whole genome shotgun sequence.